rnacentral:rRNA from 1 species
UACGGAGGGUGCGAGCGUUGUCCGGAAUCACUGGGCGUAAAGGGCGCGUAGGCGGCCUGAUAAGUCGGGGGUGAAAUCCUGCGGCUUAACCGCAGGGCUGCCUUCUAAACUGUCAGGCUCGAGCACAGUAGAGGCAGGUGGAAUUCCCGGUGUAGCGGUGGAAUGCGUAGAGAUCGGGAAGAACAUCGGUGGCGAAAGCGCUCUACUGGACCGCAACUGACACUCAGGGACGAAAGCUAGGGGAGCGAAUGGG